GAGGUGAAGAUGCAGCGGGCGGAACCCGGUGGAGCUAGUGGGAUUCGGGGGCGCUAAAGUCGCAGGGACAGGGCGGGAAGGAAGAUCCGGAGCGGGGCAGAGGAUCCGGAGCUGGAGCCCCCAGGGGCACAGGCGCUGGGGACGCCUCCCUGCUUAUACCCGCCCGUGUCCUGCCCAGGACCCAUCAGAGGCUCCAGGGGUGCUCCGGGGGAUGCUGCCGUACUCCCUCUUCAUCCCGAAGGACGGGUUUGGGAAAGGCCUCCGACGGCUCGUGGGGCAGCUCCUGUGGGCAACAUCUUUGGGGGAGGCACGUUUGAGUCACACGAUUAACCUCAGACCCCGCAGGUUAACAGCCGCAGGUUUGCAUUUCUACGAAGGCUCCGGGAGACCCCUCACCCAUGACGUGACCAGGGUGGGGACGGCAGG
rnacentral:lncRNA from 1 species